AGAGUUUGAUCAUGGCUCAGAUUGAACGCUGGCGGCAGGCCUAACACAUGCAAGUCGAACGGUAACAGGAAGCAGCUUGCUGCUUCGCUGACGAGUGGCGGACGGGUGAGUAAUGUCUGGGAAGCUGCCUGAUGGAGGGGGAUAACUACUGGAAACGGUAGCUAAUACCGCAUAAUGUCGCAAGACCAAAGAGGGGGACCUUCGGGCCUCUUGCCAUCGGAUGUGCCCAGAUGGGAUUAGCUUGUUGGUGGGGUAACGGCUCACCAAGGCGACGAUCCCUAGCUGGUCUGAGAGGAUGACCAGCCACACUGGAACUGAGACACGGUCCAGACUCCUACGGGAGGCAGCAGUGGGGAAUAUUGCACAAUGGGCGCAAGCCUGAUGCAGCCAUGCCGCGUGUAUGAAGAAGGCCUUCGGGUUGUAAAGUACUUUCAGCGGGGAGGAAGGGAGUAAAGUUAAUACCUUUGCUCAUUGACGUUACCCGCAGAAGAAGCACCGGCUAACUCCGUGCCAGCAGCCGCGGUAAUACGGAGGGUGCGAGCGUUAAUCGGAAUUACUGGGCGUAAAGCGCACGCAGGCGGUUUGUUAAGUCAGAUGUGAAAUCCCCGGGCUCAACCUGGGAACUGCAUCUGAUACUGGCAAGCUUGAGUCUCGUAGAGGGGGGUAGAAUUCCAGGUGUAGCGGUGAAAUGCGUAGAGAUCUGGAGGAAUACCGGUGGCGAAGGCGGCCCCCUGGACGAAGACUGACGCUCAGGUGCGAAAGCGUGGGGAGCAAACAGGAUUAGAUACCCUGGUAGUCCACGCCGUAAACGAUGUCGACUUGGAGGUUGUGCCCUUGAGGCGUGGCUUCCGGAGCUAACGCGUUAAGUCGACCGCCUGGGGAGUACGGCCGCAAGGUUAAAACUCAAAUGAAUUGACGGGGGCCCGCACAAGCGGUGGAGCAUGUGGUUUAAUUCGGUGCAACGCGAAGAACCUUACCUGGUCUUGACAUCCACGGAAGUUUUCAGAGAUGAGAAUGUGCCUUCGGGAACCGUGAGACAGGUGCUGCAUGGCUGUCGUCAGCUCGUGUUGUGAAAUGUUGGGUUAAGUCCCGCAACGAGCGCAACCCUUAUCCUUUGUUGCCAGCGGUCCGGCCGGGAACUCAAAGGAGACUGCCAGUGAUAAACUGGAGGAAGGUGGGGAUGACGUCAAGUCAUCAUGGCCCUUACGACCAGGGCUACACACGUGCUACAAUGGCGCAUACAAAGAGAAGCGACCUCGCGAGAGCAAGCGGACCUCAUAAAGUGCGUCGUAGUCCGGAUUGGAGUCUGCAACUCGACUCCAUGAAGUCGGAAUCGCUAGUAAUCGUGGAUCAGAAUGCCACGGUGAAUACGUUCCCGGGCCUUGUACACACCGCCCGUCACACCAUGGGAGUGGGUUGCAAAAGAAGUAGGUAGCUUAACCUUCGGGAGGGCGCUUACCACUUUGUGAUUCAUGACUGGGGUGAAGUCGGAACAAGGUAACCGUAGGGGAACCUGCGGUUG
rnacentral:rRNA from 1 species